AGAACGAACGCUGGCGGCAGGCUUAACACAUGCAAGUCGAACGCUCGUAGCAAUACGGGAGUGGCAGACGGGUGAGUAACGCGUGGGAACAUACCCUCCGGUUCGGAAUAGCUCAGGGAAACUUGGAUUAAUACCGGAUACGGCCGAGAGGCGAAAGAUUUAUCGCCGGAGGAUUGGCCCGCGUUCGAUUAGCUAGUUGGUGAGGUAACGGCUCACCAAGGCGAUGAUCGAUAGCCGGUCUGAGAGGAUGAUCAGCCACAUUGGGACUGAGACACGGCCCAAACUCCUACGGGAGGCAGCAGUGGGGAAUAUUGGACAAUGGGCGCAAGCCUGAUCCAGCCAUGCCGCGUGAGUGAUGACGGCCUUAGGGUUGUAAAGCUCUUUUGUGCGGGAAGAUAAUGACGGUACCGCAAGAAUAAGCCCGGCUAACUUCGUGCCAGCAGCCGC
rnacentral:rRNA from 1 species